CAGUUAUUGAUAAGGUCUGAGAAGGAUGGCAUUCUCUGCCCUAUUCCACAGUACCCAUUGUACUCUGCAUCAAUUGCUCUUCAUGGUGGUUCCCUUGUUCCUUAUUUCCUUGAUGAAGAGACAGGGUGGGCACUUGAGGUUGAUGAGCUCAAGAAACAACUUGAGGAGGCUCGAUCUAAGGGCAUCAGUGUUAGGGCGCUUGUUGUUAUAAAUCCAGGAAACCCAACAGGACAGGCAUGUUGUUCUCAAACCAAACCAGGGGCGUCACUCGAUUA